CUGAGUACGGCGGAACACGUGAAAUUCCGUCGGAAUCCGGGAGGACCAUCUCCCAAGGCUAAAUACUCCCUAGUGACCGAUAGUGAACCAGUACCGUGAGGGAAAGGUGAAAAGCACCCCGGAAGGGGAGUGAAACAGUUCCUGAAACCGUGUGCCUACAAGUAGUUAGAGCCCGUUAAUGGGUGAUAGCGUGCCUUUUGUAGAAUGAACCGGCGAGUUACGAUUUGUUGCAAGGUUAAGCGGAAAAAGCGGAGCCGUAGCGAAAGCGAGUCUGAAUAGGGCGCAUAAGUAACAGGUCGUAGACCCGAAACCAGGUGAUCUACCCAUGUCCAGGAUGAAGGUAAGGUAAUACUUACUGGAGGUCCGAACCCACGCACGUUGAAAAGUGCGGGGAUGAGGUGUGGGUAGCGGAGAAAUUCCAAUCGAACUUGGAGAUAGCUGGUUCUCUCCGAAAUAGCUUUAGGGCUAGCCUCGAGGUAAAGAGUCAUGGAGGUAGAGCACUGUUUGGACUAGGGGCCCUUCUCGGGUUACCGAAUUCAGAUAAACUCCGAAUGCCAUGUACUUAUACUCGGGAGUCAGACUGCGAGUGAUAAGAUCCGUAGUCGAAAGGGAAACAGCCCAGACCACCAGUUAAGGUCCCCAAAUAUAUGUUAAGUGGAAAAGGAUGUGGGGUUGCUUAGACAACCAGGAUGUUGGCUUAGAAGCAGCCACCAUUGAAAGAGUGCGUAAUAGCUCACUGGUCGAGUGACCCCGCGCCGAAAAUGUACCGGGGCUAAACAUAUUACCGAAACUGUGGAUGAACCUCUUUAGAGGUUCGUGGUAGGAGAGCGUUCUAAGGGCGGUGAAGUCAGACCGGAAGGACUGGUGGAGCGCUUAGAAGUGAGAAUGCCGGUAUGAGUAGCGAAAGAAGGGUGAGAAUCCCUUCCACCGAAUAUCUAAGGUUUCCUGAGGAAGGCUCGUCCGCUCAGGGUUAGUCGGGACCUAAGCCGAGGCCGAUAGGCGUAGGCGAUGGACAACAGGUAGAGAUUCCUGUACCAGUGCUAAUUGUUUAACCGAUGGGGUGACACAGAAGGAUAGGGAAUCGCACGAAUGGAAAUGUGCGUCCAAGCAGUGAGUGUGAGAAGUAGGCAAAUCCGCUUCUCGCGAAGCAUGAGCUGUGAUGGGGAAGGAAAUUAAGUACGGAAGUUCCUGAUUUCACGCUGUCAAGAAAAGCCUCUAGGAAGAGUAGUACUGCCCGUACCGCAAACCGACACAGGUAGAUGAGGAGAGAAUCCUAAGGUGAGCGAGAGAACUCUCGUUAAGGAACUCGGCAAAAUGACCCCGUAACUUCGGGAGAAGGGGUGCUCUAUUAGGGUGCAAGCCCGAGAGAGCCGCAGUGAAUAGGCCCAGGCGACUGUUUAGCAAAAACACAGGUCUCUGCAAAACCGUAAGGUGACGUAUAGGGGCUGACGCCUGCCCGGUGCUGGAAGGUUAAGAGGAGUGCUUAGCUUCGGCGAAGGUACGAAUUGAAGCCCCAGUAAACGGCGGCCGUAACUAUAACGGUCCUAAGGUAGCGAAAUUCCUUGUCGGGUAAGUUCCGACCCGCACGAAAGGCGCAACGAUCUGGGCACUGUCUCAACGAGAGACUCGGUGAAAUUAUAGUACCUGUGAAGAUGCAGGUUACCCGCGACAGGACGGAA
rnacentral:rRNA from 1 species